rnacentral:rRNA from 1 species
ACGAACGCUGGCGGCGUGCCUAAUACAUGCAAGUCGAGCGGACCUUUCGGGGUCAGCGGCGGACGGGUGAGUAACACGUGGGCAAUCUGCCCGAUACUCUGGGAUAACGCUUGGAAACGAGUGCUAAUACCGGAUGGUCUUCUUGGCCGCAUGGCCGAGAAGGAAAAGACGCGUUCGCGUCGGUGUCGGAUGAGCCCGCGGCGCAUUAGCUAGUUGGUGAGGUAACGGCCCACCAAGGCGACGAUGCGUAGCCGACCUGAGAGGGUGACCGGCCACACUGGGACUGAGACACGGCCCAGACUCCUACGGGAGGCAGCAGUAGGGAAUCUUCCACAAUGGGCGAAAGCCUGAUGGAGCAACGCCGCGUGAGUGAUGAAGGCCUUCGGGUUGUAAAACUCUGUCAUUCGGGACGAACCGGAGUCUGAGGAAAUGCAGACUCUCUGACGGUACCGGAGGAGGAAGCCCCGGCUAACUACGUGCCAGCAGCCGCGGUAAUACGUAGGGGGCAAGCGUUGUCCGGAUUCACUGGGCGUAAAGCGCGCGCAGGCGGUGAUGUAAGUCUGAGGUGAAAACCCGAAGCUCAACUUCGGGACUGCCUUUGGAUACUGCGUCACUUGAGGAUAGGAGAGGCAAGGGGAAUUCCACGUGUAGCGGUGAAAUGCGUAGAGAUGUGGAGGAACACCUGUGGCGAAGGCGCCUUGCUGGCCUAUUUCUGACGCUGAGGCGCGAAAGCGUGGGGAGCAAACAGGAUUAGAUACCCUGGUAGUCCACGCUGUAAACGAUGAGUGCUAGGUGUAGGUGGGCUCAUACCCAUCUGUGCCGAAGCUAACGCAUUAAGCACUCCGCCUGGGGAGUACGGUCGCAAGACUGAAACUCAAAGGAAUUGACGGGGGCCCGCACAAGCAGUGGAGCAUGUGGUUUAAUUCGAAGCAACGCGAAGAACCUUACCAGGACUUGACAUCCCAUAGACCAGUCUAGAGAUAGACUUUCCCUUCGGGGCUGUGGUGACAGGUGGUGCAUGGUUGUCGUCAGCUCGUGUCGUGAGAUGUUGGGUUAAGUCCCGCAACGAGCGCAACCCUUACUUUGUGUUGCCAGCAUUCAGUUGGGCACUCACAAGGGACUGCCGCCGAUAAGGCGGAGGAAGGUGGGGAUGACGUCAAAUCAUCAUGCCCCUUAUGUCCUGGGCUACACACGUGCUACAAUGGGCGGUACAACGGGAUGCGAAGCCGCGAGGUGGAGCCAAACCCUGAAAACCGUUCGUAGUUCGGAUUGUAGGCUGCAACUCGCCUACAUGAAGCCGGAAUUGCUAGUAAUCGCGGAUCAGCAUGCCGCGGUGAAUCCGUUCCCGGGCCUUGUACACACC